UCCGUAGGUGAACCUGCGGAAGGAUCAUUACAGUAUUCUUUUUGCCAGCGCUUAAUUGCGCGGCGAAAAAACCUUACACACAGUGUUUUUUGUUAUUACAAGAACUUUUGCUUUGGUCUGGACUAGAAAUAGUUUGGGCCAGAGGUUUACUGAACUAAACUUCAAUAUUUAUAUUGAAUUGUUAUUUAUUUAAUUGUCAAUUUGUUGAUUAAAUUCAAAAAAUCUUCAAAACUUUCAACAACGGAUCUCUUGGUUCUCGCAUCGAUGAAGAACGCAGCGAAAUGCGAUAAGUAAUAUGAAUUGCAGAUUUUCGUGAAUCAUCGAAUCUUUGAACGCACAUUGCGCCCUCUGGUAUUCCAGAGGGCAUGCCUGUUUGAGCGUCAUUUCUCUCUCAAACCUUCGGGUUUGGUAUUGAGUGAUACUCUUAGUCGAACUAGGCGUUUGCUUGAAAUGUAUUGGCAUGAGUGGUACUGGAUAGUGCUAUAUGACUUUCAAUGUAUUAGGUUUAUCCAACUCGUUGAAUAGUUUAAUGGUAUAUUUCUCGGUAUUCUAGGCUCGGCCUUACAAUAUAACAAACAAGUUUGACCUCAAAUCAGGUAGGACUACCCGCUGAACUUAAGCAUAUCAAUAAGCGGAGGAAAAGAAACCAACAGGGAUUGCCUUAGUAACGGCGAGUGAAGCGGCAAAAGCUCAAAUUUGAAAUCUGGCACCUUCGGUGUCCGAGUUGUAAUUUGAAGAAGGUAACUUUGGAGUUGGCUCUUGUCUAUGUUCCUUGGAACAGGACGUCACAGAGGGUGAGAAUCCCGUGCGAUGAGAUGCCCAAUUCUAUGUAAAGUGCUUUCGAAGAGUCGAGUUGUUUGGGAAUGCAGCUCUAAGUGGGUGGUAAAUUCCAUCUAAAGCUAAAUAUUGGCGAGAGACCGAUAGCGAACAAGUACAGUGAUGGAAAGAUGAAAAGAACUUUGAAAAGAGAGUGAAAAAGUACGUGAAAUUGUUGAAAGGGAAGGGCUUGAGAUCAGACUUGGUAUUUUGCGAUCCUUUCCUUCUUGGUUGGGUUCCUCGCAGCUUACUGGGCCAGCAUCGGUUUGGAUGGUAGGAUAAUGACUAAGGAAUGUGGCUCUACUUCGGUGGAGUGUUAUAGCCUUGGUUGAUACUGCCUGUCUAGACCGAGGACUGCGUCUUUUGACUAGGAUGUUGGCAUAAUGAUCUUAAGCCACCCGUCUUGAAACACGGACC
rnacentral:sRNA from 2 species